GUCCAUAUGGAGAAGAGAACGACGAGUGAAGCAGUGCACAACAUAAAAUCCAUAGAGUUUACAACGCACAUCCUGGAAACCGUUGAACGGGAACGCGCUGGUUUGGCUGUACGGGAGUAUGUGUGCUUCAAGCAGAUCUCCGGUCCCGGGCGUUCCGGACUCCCACGUCAGCAAAACGUUUUUCCAGCACAAACGGGUUUCGUUCUUUCGGGCAAAGCAGGAAGUGAAAGCCGUGCGCCCUGAAAACAAAAGCUGGAGAAAACACCCAAAGUAUACAGACUGAGAAAUGGAGAUGGUUUGUGAAAGUGGGACAUGUAGACUCUACCGGGGUGCUGGUGAAGCAGGGCAUCCACCUAUUUACAAACGGACUCGUGCAGAAAUUGCAGCCAAUCACCAGAGUUGCUUGCUGAAACAACUAGACCAGCAGAGGCAACAGGAAUUGUUUUGUGACUGCAGCGUAUUGGUGGAGGGACAAAUUUUUAGAGCACAUUGUAAUGUUCUGUGGGGCAGCAGCGGAUACUUCCGGAUGCUGUUAUCUCAGGAAGCUAAAGUCACUCAGAACUCAGUAAGUGCUUCUUUUGAUGUCUUCAGCUCUGCAAUUUUUUCUAUUAUCUUGGACUUUAUUUAUUCUGGUCAACUGGAGCUCAACAGUUCCAAUGUAAUAGAGGUGAUGUCAGCAGCCAGCUACCUGCAGAUGAAUGAUGUAAUUUCCUACUGCAAAACCUUUAUUAAAUCUUUUCUCGAAAUCAGCGAGAAAGACGACGACGAAAGUCAGUACUUGUGUCUGUCGGAGGGCAGUCCACCUCAAGACAGACACGAGAAAGUCAUCGAGCCAUCCACUAUGUGUGAUCUAAGCACAAGGCCACAGACCAGAAGCUGGGAGAACCAAGAGGAGGACCACACAACAGAGGAUAUCAGAGGAGCCAUAGUCUCCAGUCCACAGCCAUCAGGGCUUCAACAGAACUCUCCACCACAGCCCAGUCUAGAGUCACAGAUAGAGGAGGAACAGUUUAGCUCUGUGCUGUCUGAACACAGAAGAAGAGGAAGCAGGAAAAGAACUGCGACCAGUCGCUUUGUAACAGAAGACACGUCGCUCAUUGACCUAGAGGGGGUGGUAUCACACUGCACUCAGAAGGCAGAUGAGCUGUAUGCCAACCUUCCAUCAAUUGUUGGGGUAGUUGGUGUGUUUAAUAAAGAUUCCACUCCCUCUAUGCGUUAUAAAUGUCCUUUCUGCACGCACACAGUAAAAAGGAAGGCAGAUUUGAAGCGACACCUCCGCUGUCACACAGGUGAGCGUCCGUACCCCUGCCAGGCCUGCAGCAAGCGUUUUACUCGCCUAGAACACCUGCGUAGCCAUUUUGAGACGGUGAGAAACGCACUCAGCUUCUCAUGUAUUUGCUUCAGUAACACCUUAGUGCAGUGCUUCUCAACUCCAGUCCUUGGGGCACCCCUCCCAGAACAUUUUAGAUGUCUCCAUAUAUAAAACACCUGAUUCAGUUCAUCAGCUUGUAAGUGUGUUAAUUAAGGAAAAGUUUAAAACAUUCUGGAAGCAGAGCCAUAGAUAAACAGAGUUGUGCCACCGGAAGUCCAGAAUCCCGGCCGUCACGUGAUUCACGGAGACUUCAGUUAGUUCCUAGAAGCCCAUAUUGAGCCAUUGAAAUACAUUAAGUUAGAGGCAAAGAGCUGUGGUUUUUCUUAAUUUAUAGUCAAGAAACGCAUUUUUUUUUACAAUAUUUAUAUAUCACAUCAAAAUGUGAAAGUAGUAUUGUUAUGUAGUUAUAUAAACAAUGUUUUUUGACAAAUUAAAUCCACCAAUAUAGGAACAUUUGUAUGGUCAUCUGCUGGUAUGUGGCUUGUUAACAUGUUUUACGCUGCCUUUAGCCACUUUAAAAUGCAUCACACCGUACUAAUGUAAGUUUAUAAUGUUAUGCUUGUUUAUAAUGUACAAAGUGAAUGUGCUGUGAAUGUAACUCAUACUGGUUUAAUUUAUAAAUAUACAAAAGCACAACAUUAAAAAAGACUUACAAAGCACUUUGUUUAAUUUAUUAUAAAUUAUAAUAAUAUUUCUGGCUUAGUGUAGUUUUCUUUUUGUUGUUAAUAUAAACAUCUGAUUGGAAAUAACAUCAAAUGAUUACUAAUCUCUUAACUAUGUAAGUAUAGAUUUGACAAGUUAAUUAAUUAAUAAAUGUUUUAUUUAUUUAAUUUAUUAACCAGCAAAACCACAGUGUCAAAAACACUCCACCCAUACGUUUGAUGCAUAAAUAUGCACUUUAUACCACCAUCACUUUAUUUAAUAGCCUCUCUAAUUACACAAUAUUUACAAUAAUGGAUGAAUCUGCAUUAAGAAAACGAAAUGUACCAAUAAAAGGUUGUUCGUGGUUUGUUGUGUGUUGCUAAAGUUAUCCACAGCUUGUCGUAGGCUGACCCGUUUUCUACUAACACCCCCUAAAUGUACUUAUUAAACGAGAAAUAAUGCACUACAAACUGAUGCACUACAAACUACUGAUGCAUAAAGUCAUUCGAUUCACAUGUAUUGCUAAUCUUAUUUGUCAAGCAUAUUAAGUCUUAAAACUUGUAUUAAGUUCAACACAUUCAUUCUUUCUAAUGCAACUCUAUGGAGCUGACUGUGACUUCCGGGAACUCUGGAGAGACUCCGUGGUCCGCCAUUGCUGUAAAAAACGUUCCAUUGGAGUGAACGGACUUGACGUAACUCUCUCCUUCUAUGGCUCUGUCUGGAAGGAGCCUUAUGAGUGGAAUCAGGUGUUUCAUAUAAGGAGACAUCUAAAACAUUCUGGGAGGUGGGCCCGAGGACUGGAGUUGAGAACCACUGCCUUAGUGUAUAUUCACAGGCUGCUGUCAGUCUAUAAAGGAAUAAUUUACCCUAAUGGCCAAGGUAUACUCUGGCUGUCAGCACGCCAUCCGCAUGACAUAAUUUGGCGCCCCGUCACCGCGCAUCACUCGUGGAUAUCCAAAAAUGGACUUUAUUUUAACUUUAUUGUCAUUUUAUUACACUUUCAACACUAAAAUAAUCAUCAAAAUUUCAAAACUACUAUCUACAAUUACUAUCAAUGAAAGAAGUUCAUCAAAAGUUAAAUAGUUGAUGAUUAAAACCCAGUGCUUUUCUAAAUAAACCACAUUGACACAUGUAAAAAGCUAAAUUAACCCUUGGGAACCCUUAAAAUACUUGCAAUCAAAAACAACACAAACAUUGCUUACUGCUCUGGAGAUUGUCUUCAUUGUGAUUAUCAUCCAAUCUUUGAUCAACAGUUUAAUCAAAAACUUCCAAAGCAUCCACAGCCAAGCUCAUUAAAUGUCCUUGCACUUUUGCUUUAUUUCAUUGCUGUGCAGUACAUGAACUUGCAACGUAGUAUUUAUGACUAAUGAUCUACAUAUCGUAAUUGCUUUAGAGCAGUGGUUCUUAAACAGGAGAGAACUACAAAUUCUAUCCUAAAAUGUAAAUCAUUACAUUUGGUAUAAACUGGUUUCCAAAAUAAUUCGAAUUAAUUCAAAGUAGAUUGUCUGCUUAGUUCCUGGAUCUAUUUCUAUGGACAACAUCCUGCUUGUUUAUCCCUAUGAUGGUGGUCACCAUUAACAUUCCUAUUUUAUAUAUAUAUAUAUAUAUUUUUUUAUUUUCUUUAUUAUUUUUUUUUUCAAACAGGCACUACUGGAAAUAAGUGACUUUGUGUAAAUCUUAUCUCGGCUUAAAAACAUUCUAACAAGAUCGGUAAAAGCUUUAAAAUGUCAUAAAAGAACUGUGAAAAUAUAGUAAAAAUAUAUGAUAAAAGUACUGUAAAAUAUAGUAAAAAAUAUAGUAAAUAUCCCUUAAAAAUUCAAGUAAAAAAAAGAAAAAUUAACUGUGAAAUCUUACAAAAAUAUAUGGAAAAAACUGUCAAAUAAAAGAAAAGGAACUGUAAAAUAUUCUAAAAAUAUGGUAAAAUAAUUGUAAAAUAGAAUAAAAAUAUUUGUAAAAUAUUUGUAAAAUAUAGGCAAAAAUAUGUAAAAUAAUUGUAAAGAAUUGUAAAAUAUAGUAAAAGAUUUGUAAAAUAAUUGUAAAAUAUAUUCAAAAUGUAAAAGAAUUGUAAAAUAUUUGUAAAGAUAUAUGUAAAAGAAUUAUAAAAUUAAAAAGAAUCAUAAAAUAAAGUAAAGAUAUAUUACAAUCUCCUCUUUUUUCCACUCAUUAGCCCCGCUUUUUCUUUUGUUAUCAAGUGAAAAAGUGUUCUUUGUCCUACCUGUUACCACGCAUUGUCCCACUGCUUUCUGUUGCUGAACUACUUUGUGUACUCCAUACCUUUCCCUGAAUUCCAAUGCUAUUCCUUUCCCGAAUGCACAGUCUUUGCAGUCAAUGAGCUGCAAUGUGUUCUGUUGAGAAAUGUCAACCUGUUGUUGUUCCCUUGUGUUGGAUUCCCCCUUUUGGUCCUGCAGUUCCUGCAGGUCCAAUCUUACCGUAUCCAAUGACCUUCUGGUGAAUGUGUGGGGAACAACAAGACCAAUGGAACCAAGUGUCACCUUUGCCAGCUACUCUUACUGUUUUGCGCUCGGUCACUCUGUAUGGUCCUAUCCAACGAGGUUCGUUCCACUUCCGCUUAAACACCCUUAGGAGCACCCAAUCUGCAAAUGGAGUAAUUUCUGUGUCUGGAUGUGCAGGAGAGAUGGUUUUCUGUUUGGAAAAACAAGAGCAUUCAGUUUGGUGAAGUACACUCUAAAAAUGGCUGGGUUAUUUUUUAACCCAAAAUGCUGGGUUGAGUCUGUUGGGUUGUUUUGCUGGGUUAUUUUUGUACAUUUUAAACACUUUUUGGGUAGUUUCAGUUUUCUAGGUGUUGGGUUAAAACUGCUGGAUUAUUAUGUUGGGUUGUUUGAAGAGGCUCAGGUGCUUCGCGCCCUUGAUGUUUGAAUGUGCUCAGCAACGGUCGUUGUGAAAGGACAGAGUCACUGGAAGCAGUUGUUUCAAGAGUUUUAACGUCCAUCCAUUGAUGAGGCUAGCAAGACCUUCAUACAACUUCAGCCAAUUGCAACAAAUAUGGUGGAAUUUCUUCUCUGGACAGAAUCCUCGAAACCCUUUCCUUUCGUCCUGGCCAUGGGAAACAUGCAGCAGAUCUCUCAAUCUUUUUUCUCAAUCAGUCUCUCUGAAUACGGAAGUGACUUAAACUGCAAUUCGGCCAAGAUGGCGAUGGCACGCACCGCCUACUUUAAGCUUCAAAAAUGCUCUUCACAAACCAAUGGGUGAUGUCACAGACACUACUUGCAUAUUUUUUACAGUCUCUGGUUUAAAGGCAUUUUAAGUGCUUGAAAAUAAAUACCCCAGGCAAUGUGCUUCUAUGGGAAUUCCUGUAGUCUGUCAUUUUUCAAAUUGAUGAAUCCUCUCCUGUUCUAUUCCUUUGUACAUCUUUGUUCGCGACAAGUAACUUUUUAAUAAAUGAAGUAUUUUUUGUCAAAUACAUUCCAUUCUGUGAAACUUAAAACAUUUGUUAUGUAAAAAAACUUUGCACAUCUAUGAAUGAUUUUACUUUUAAUUUAACAAUUACAUUGUUUAUUUUCUUACACUGCUGUAGUUUUGUUUAUGUACAUUUCAGUAUUUCAUUAAAUUUCAUAAAAUUACAAAUUCUGUCUUAAAUUCAAACGAAUUGAUUCAACCUGUUACAUUGUUACUUCAAUGUGCAUAAUUUAUGAUAUUUUAUAAAUAUAUUUAUACUUGGGUCAGUCAGCAGUCCUUUAAAUGAUUUUGCAACUUACAAC